CAUGCAAGUCGAACGGCAGCACGGGUGCUUGCACCUGGUGGCGAGUGGCGAACGGGUGAGUAAUACAUCGGAACAUGUCCUGUAGUGGGGGAUAGCCCGGCGAAAGCCGGAUUAAUACCGCAUACGAUCCACGGAUGAAAGCGGGGGACCUUCGGGCCUCGCGCUAUAGGGUUGGCCGAUGGCUGAUUAGCUAGUUGGUGGGGUAAAGGCCCACCAAGGCGACGAUCAGUAGCUGGUCUGAGAGGACGACCAGCCACACUGGGACUGAGACACGGCCCAGACUCCUACGGGAGGCAGCAGUGGGGAAUUUUGGACAAUGGGCGAAAGCCUGAUCCAGCAAUGCCGCGUGUGUGAAGAAGGCCUUCGGGUUGUAAAGCACUUUUGUCCGGAAAGAAAUCCUGAGGGCUAAUAUCCUUCGGGGAUGACGGUACCGGAAGAAUAAGCACCGGCUAACUACGUGCCAGCAGCCGCGGUAAUACGUANGGUGCGAGCGUUAAUCGGAAUUACUGGGCGUAAAGCGUGCGCAGGCGGUUUGUUAAAACCGAUGUGAAAUCCCCGGGCUCAACCUGGGAACUGCAUUGGUGACUGGCAAGCUAGAGUAUGGCAUAGGGGGGUAGAAUUCCACCUGUAACAGUGAAAUGCGUAGAGAUGUGGAGGAAUACCGAUGGCGAAGGCAGCCCCCUGGGCCAAUACUGACGCUCAUGCACGAAAGCCUGGGGAGCAAACAGGAUUACAUACCCUGGUAGUCCCCCCCCUAAACGAUGUCAACUAGUUGUUGGGGAUUCAUUUCCUUA
rnacentral:rRNA from 1 species